rnacentral:rRNA from 1 species
UACAGAGGGGGCAAGCGUUGUUCGGAAUUACUGGGCGUAAAGGGCGCGUAGGCGGCCUGUUAAGUCGAACGUGAAAUCCCCGGGCUCAACCCGGGAACUGCGUCCGAUACUGGCAGGCUUGAAUUCGGGAGAGGGAUGUGGAAUUCCAGGUGUAGCGGUGAAAUGCGGUAGAAUAUCUGGAGGAACACCGGGUGGCGGAAAGGGCAGGC